rnacentral:rRNA from 1 species
UACGGGGGGGGCAAGCGUUGUUCGGAAUUACUGGGCGUAAAGGGCGCGUAGGCGGCCUUCUCAGUCGGACGUGAAAUCCCUCGGCUUAACCGAGGAACUGCGUCCGAUACUGAAAGGCUUGAAUCCGGGAGAGGGAUGUGGAAUUCCAGGUGUAGCGGUGAAAUGCGUAGAUAUCUGGAGGAACACCGGUGGCGAAGGCGGCAUCCUGGACCGGCAUUGACGCUGAGGCGCGAAAGCUAGGGGAGCAAACGGG